ensembl:snRNA U6 U6 spliceosomal RNA
GUGCUCACUUCAGCAACACAUAUACUAAAAUUGGAAUGAUACAGAGAAGAUUCACAUGGCCCCAGCGUAAGGAUGACAUGAAAAUUCAUGAAGCGUUCCAUUUUUUA